rnacentral:lncRNA from 1 species
AUGGUAUCGACGAAUGAAAGGAAAAUAUUUUUGAGCUACCCUGCAUGCUUAAGUGACCGUCGGAAAUACCUGUUCAAAGAUAGCACCAAGCCGGCCAACAGCUAACCUUCCAUCAUCUCGGGUUACCACAGCUGUUCCCACCUGAUCCAUGGCGUAAAUCGGUCGAAUGUGAGAGGUUUUUUGGAAGAUUAAACUUCAGAAUGGAGAGAAGGACACACAGAGUGUGUGUGUGUGUGUGUGU